UACGUAGGGUGCGAGCGUUGUCCGGAAUUAUUGGGCGUAAAGAGCUCGUAGGCGGUGUGUCACGUCGGCCGUGAAAACCUGCAGCUUAACUGUGGGCGUGCGGUCGAUACGGGCAUCACUGGAGUUCGGCAGGGGAGACUGGAAUUCCUGGUGUAGCGGUGAAAUGCGCAGAUAUCAGGAGGAACACCAAUGGCGAAGGCAGCUCGCUGGGACGGUACUGACGCUGAGGCGCGAAAGCGUGGGGAGCAAACAGG
rnacentral:rRNA from 1 species